UACGUAGGGGGGCAAGCGUUGUCCGGAAUCAUUGGGCGUAAAGAGCGUGUAGGCGGCCAGAUAAGUCCGCUGUGAAAUCUCGAGGCUCAACUUCGAGCUGUCGGUGGAAACCGUCUGGCUAGAGUCCGGAAGAGGAGAAUGGAAUUCCUGGUGUAGCGGUGAAAAUGCGCAGAUAUCAGGAGGAACACCGAUGGCGAAGGCAGGUCUCUGGGCCACUACUGACGCUGAGAAGCGAAAGCAUGGGGAGCGAACAGG
rnacentral:rRNA from 1 species